AUUGAACGCUGGCGGCAUGCUUUACACAUGCAAGUCGAACGGUAACAGGCCGCAAGGUGCUGACGAGUGGCGAACGGGUGAGUAAUGCAUCGGAACGUGCCCAGUCGUGGGGGAUAACUACUCGAAAGAGUAGCUAAUACCGCAUACGAUCUAUGGAUGACAGCGGGGGACCGUAAGGCCUCGCGCGAUUGGAGCGGCCGAUGUCAGAUUAGGUAGUUGGUGGGGUAAAGGCUCACCAAGCCAACGAUCUGUAGCUGGUCUGAGAGGACGACCAGCCACACUGGGACUGAGACACGGCCCAGACUCCUACGGGAGGCAGAAGUGGGGAAUUUUGGACAAUGGGCGCAAGCCUGAUCCAGCAAUGCCGCGUGCAGGAAGAAGGCCUUCGGGUUGUAAACUGCUUUUGUACGGAACGAAACGGCUCUGGUUAAUACCCGGGGCUAAUGACGGUACCGUAAGAAUAAGCACCGGCUAACUACGUG
rnacentral:rRNA from 1 species